GGUGAACGCUGGCGGUAGGCCUAACACAUGCAAGUCGAAAGGCAGCACAGUAAGAGCUUGCUCUUACGGGUGGCGAGUGGCGGACGGGUGAGGAAUACAUCGGAAUCUACUUUUUCGUGGGGGAUAACGUAGGGAAACUUACGCUAAUACCGCAUACGACCUACGGGUGAAAGCAGGAGAUCUUCGGACCUUGCCCGAUUCAAUGAGCCGAUGCCGGAUUAGCUAGUUGGCGGGGUAAAGGCCCACCAAGGCGACGAUCCGUAGCGGGUCUGAGAGGAUGAUCAGCCACACUGGAACUGAGACACGGUCCAGACUCCUACGGGAGGCAGCAGUGGGGAAUCUUGGACAAUGGGCGCAAGCCUGAUCCAGCCAUACCGCGUGGGUGAAGAAGGCCUUCGGGUUGUAAAGCCCUUUUGUUGGGAAAGAAAAGCAGCAGGUUAAUACCCCGCUGUUCUGACGGUACCCAAAGAAUAAGCACCGGCUAACUUCGUG
rnacentral:rRNA from 1 species